UUGAAGAACUAAAUUUUGUUAACUGCAUACACAACAAGAGUUGAGGUUAGCUCCAAUUCUCAUCUCUAAAAUACCAACAAAACUAAAUUUAACAAUCACCAAAUGCAAUGGCCUAAAAGAACGAAGAAAAUAGACUUAAAAAUAUAUAUAUAUGUGUAUAUCUUUUCCACACAUAGAAUGUGCAUAUUUAUACACAACCAUGGAAGAUGAUGAGUCACGA
rnacentral:misc_RNA from 1 species